AACGCGAAGAACCUUACCUGGAUUUGACAUCCUCUGACAGCCGUAGAGAUACGGUUUUCGUAGCAAUACGACAGAGAGACAGGUGCUGCAUGGCUGUCGUCAGCUCGUGUGGUGACAUGUUGGGUUAAGUCCCGCAACGAGCGCAACCCUUGUCCUUAGUUGCCAGCAUUCAGUUGGGCUCUCUAAGGAGACUGCCGUGGUUAACACGGAGGAAGGUGGGGAUGACGUCAAGUCCUCAUGGCCUUUAUAUCCAGGGCGACACACGUGAUACAAUGGUAGGUACAGAGGGAAGCCAAAGGGUGACCUGGAGCCAAUCUCAAAAAGCCUAUCUCAGUUCGGAUUGGAGUCUGCAACUCGACUCCAUGAAGUUGGAAUCGCUAGUAAUCGCGGAUCAGCACGCCGCGGUGAAUACGUUCCCGGGCCUUGUACACACCGGAGUGC
rnacentral:rRNA from 1 species